CCCUUCCUUUUAAAGCACCCUGCUAAAAUUGGGGCGAAGCCUUGGGGCUUGGCUCUUGCGGUCAUGUAAGCAUGGGUACACCAAGGAAGGACAGUAAAGCCAGGGUUGAAAUGAGGCUAGGGCGGACCUCUUUCUUAAUGUCCAGUGUCCUUUGUCUCAAGAUUCUGUGCUACAAUA
rnacentral:snoRNA from 1 species